rnacentral:rRNA from 1 species
AGUGAACGCUGGCGGUAGGCCUAACACAUGCAAGUCGAACGGCAGCACAGGAGAGCUUGCUCUCUGGGUGGCGAGUGGCGGACGGGUGAGGAAUACAUCGGAAUCUACCUUUUCGUGGGGGAUAACGUAGGGAAACUUACGCUAAUACCGCAUACGACCUACGGGUGAAAGUGGGGGACCGCAAGGCCUCACGCGAUUAGAUGAGCCGAUGUCCGAUUAGCUAGUUGGCGGGGUAAUGGCCCACCAAGGCGACGAUCGGUAGCUGGUCUGAGAGGAUGAUCAGCCAGACUGGAACUGAGACACGGUCCAGACUCCUACGGGAGGCAGCAGUGGGGAAUAUUGGACAAUGGGCGCAAGCCUGAUCCAGCCAUACCGCGUGGGUGAAGAAGGCCUUCGGGUUGUAAAGCCCUUUUGUUGGGAAAGAAAUCCUGUCGAUUAAUACUCGGUGGGGAUGACGGUACCCAAAGAAUAAGCACCGGCUAACUUCGUGCCAGCCGCCGCGGUAAGAC